rnacentral:ncRNA from 2 species
CCUGUCCUCCUAGUUAUCGGUGCCUCUGCAAGGAGGUGAAACGGGAAUGCGGUGCGGGGAGAUAUCCCUUAUGCCGCGGCUGCCCCCGCAACUGUAAGCGGCCAUUCCGGGUCCACAAAGCCACUGAAUUUGCAUCGCAGAUUCGGGAAGGCGGACCGGGAGACCACCGCGAGCCAGGAGACCGGCCGGUAACGAGUUUCACAC